UAAAGGAAAAUUACCAAUGAUCUAAUUUUUCAUAUCUUCCCAAAAGGAAGGAAAGGACAGAAUUUGGUUUCUGAAGCCCAUUCAGAAGGGGUUAUUCAGGGUGUCCUUACAGAAAAAAAAGAAAGAUUUGGGAUGAGAAGACAGAAGCAAUUGGACACUAGAAGAAGCUUGCCUCAGGCCAUGCUGUCAAGCUUCUUGGCAUUGGAGUGCUUUCAGUGA
rnacentral:lncRNA from 1 species